rnacentral:rRNA from 1 species
UACGUAGGGGGCAAGCGUUGUCCGGAUUUAUUGGGCGUAAAGAGCUCGUAGGCGGUUUGUCGCGUCUGCUGUGAAAAUCCAGGGCUUAACCCUGGACCUGCAGUGGGUACGGGCAGACUGGAGUGCGGUAGGGGAGAUCGGAAUUCCUGGUGUAGCGGUGAAAUGCGCAGAUAUCAGGAGGAACACCGGUGGCGAAGGCGGAUCUCUGGGCCGUAACUGACGCUGAGGAGCGAAAGCAUGGGGAGCGAACAGG